GAUGAAGAACGUAGCGAAAUGCGAUAAGUAAUGUGAAUUGCAGAAUUCAGUGAAUCAUCGAAUCUUUGAACGCACAUUGCGCCCCCUGGUAUUCCGGGGGGCAUGCCUGUCCGAGCGUCAUUACAACCCUCAAGCUCAGCUUGGUGUUGGGCCCCGCCGCCCCGGCGGGCCCUAAAGUCAGUGGCGGUGCCGUCCGGCUCCGAGCGUAGUAAUUCUUCUCGCUCUGGAGGUCCGGUCGUGUGCUCGCCAGCAACCCCCAAUUUUUUUCAGGUUGACCUCGGAUCAGGUAGGGAUACCCGCUGAACUUAAGCAUAUCAAUAAGCGGUGGA
rnacentral:misc_RNA from 1 species